rnacentral:tRNA from 1 species
GGUCAGGAUAGCUCAGUUGGUGAGCAGAGG